CCCCUCCGCAGCAUCUCCUCCCGGAGCCGGGUCUCAGUCGCCGACCCUUUAAGUUUAAAGAAGGAGCGUGUCCAGUCGGCCCCGCGUGGCUCACAAGAGGUUAACGAAAGCGCGCGGGGGGCUGCCCCGCGCCGGAACCCAGCAAGCUCAUUGGUCGGAUCUGCGGAGGUCGUGGCCAAUGGGAGGAGGCUGCGAGACGCCCGCCGCUGGAGCCGCGGGGAGGAGGCGGGAGGAGGGCACGGCUCGCGCGGGGGAGGGUUCGCGGCCUCCGCCGAAGCGCGGGCUGCACAAGAGAGGAAAACUGAGAGCCAAGGGAAGGAAUGGACUUGCCCAGGAUCACACAGCUCAAGGCCCAGUACUGGAUACCACUGUCUGAUCAUGAUCAUGCCUCCUUUCCUGUGCUGGACCAAGGCCCAGAUGAGCAGCUGGGGAUGCAAGGCUGAAUGGAGCAGCAGGAAGAGGCUGUAGGCGGCAGAGUUCAUUCAGAAGAAAGUCCAACUUAAGAGCUGCUGAAGGCUGAGGGAUCCUCACAGGGGGGCUCUACCAAUAAAGGUACA